rnacentral:rRNA from 1 species
UACGGAGGGUGCAAGCGUUAAUCGGAAUCACUGGGCGUAAAGCGCACGUAGGCGGCUUUGUAAGUCAGACGUGAAAGCCCACGGCUCAACCGUGGAAUUGCGUUUGAUACUGCAUAGCUUGAGUCCUGGAGAGGGAAGCGGAAUUCCGGGUGUAGGAGUGAAAUCCGUAGAGAUCCGGAGGAACACCGGUGGCGAAGGCGGCUUCCUGGACAGGUACUGACGCUGAGGUGCGAAAGCGUGGGGAGCAAACAGG